AGCGCAAACUACUUAGGCGGAGUUCUGUUAUAAUCUUAUCUCCAAUACCUUAAUCUAAGGUUUUGAUCGAUCAAAGCUCAUGCUUCUUUACCAAUGAUACAAUUACUACUAAUAGUUUCCUAAUGUUAUUAUGUAGACAAAUUUAAUACAUCACUCUUUUCCUUUGAUAUACUUGCUGCUGUAGAAAUAUAAAUAAUGUAUGUUAUUGAAACUUGAAAACGCUGAAUUGUUCAAUAGUAAUGAUCAUAUUCUCAACUUUUACUUUUGGGCUUGAGCAGAUAACUAGAAUAUGAACAUCCUGUUUUGUUUUCUAGCUUUGCCAUCAAGUAUCCAAAAGGUUUGCUUUUAGACAUGACCAUUUUAAAGGGAAAAAAGAGCUAGAGAUUUUGGUCCUCCCUUGCAUCAAGCCAACAAUUUCUCUGUGUUUCUGUUAAAAGAAUGCAUUUGGCUCAAAAUAUGAUCAUAACUUGCUCUGAAGAAAACAUGCUUGAUUUCUGAUUUGUGCCACAGAUGAACUUGAUUGCAAACCUGAAAAACCCAUAUAUUGUGGAGUAUAAAGAUUCUUGGGUGGAAAAGGUAAACAGUUAAACAUAUAUUUUCUUUACAAUGACAUAGGAAUAAUCAAUGUCUUUGAGACUCUUAUAGACUCUAAACAAAUGUGCAUGCUGUGCCUAUAAGAAAAAUCUUUAUGCAUUUUUUGCUAUUCAGGGAAGUUGUGUGUGCAUAGUGACAGCCUACUGUGAAGGUGGAGACAUGUAAGUAGCCAUGAAUUAUUUAUUAUUGUCUUUGAUGAUUUUGGCCUAGUCAAAAUGUUAAAAACGUUAAAUGCUUUAGAAAACCAAAAUACAAAUUUUUCAGAGAUGACUGUCUUUUUAUAAAUUACAUAGGAAUACAAUUUUUUCCUCCUGGAGUGAGGAACCAUCCUCUUCCUGAUAGUUAUAGGCUUAUUGCCUUGUAUUAAAAAGCAAUUGAAAAGCUUUAUAUGCUGUCUCAUCAGAAAUUUAAAGUUCAUGAAAAUUUUCAUCUAGAAAAUAGACAUUUAAAAAAUAUUUUUUAACAAAAAUACCAUAAAAAUUAAUAAGUUAAAAAAUGAAAAAGCAUUUCAGAACAUUUUUCAUGAAAGAUUAAAUGAACUUUCUUUCCUCUUUUUCAAAAAGGGCUGAGAUUAUAAAGAAGGCAAGAGGCAUUUUUUUCCCAGAAGAGGUAACCUGUAAGAUUUUCGUAUAAUUGGAGUUCUUUAUUUGUUCUUUCAUUUUAUCAACAUGGUUACAAUGUUUUGCUCCUCAGAAACUCUGCAAAUGGUUGACUC
rnacentral:misc_RNA from 1 species